GCGGUCGUCAAAGAGGUUGUGAAAUGUUAAAGACGAGCUCAUAUCACAGCCAUCUUUGAUGAUCAUUG
rnacentral:pre_miRNA from 1 species